AUUGGGCGUAAGAGCUCGUAGGCGGUUUGUCGCGUCUGCUGUGAAAUCCCGAGGCUCAACCUCGGGCUUGCAGUGGGUACGGGCAGACUAGAGUGCGGUAGGGGAGAUUGGAAUUCCUGGUGUAGCGGUGGAAUGCGCAGAUAUCAGGAGGAACACCGAUGGCGAAGGCAGAUCUCUGGGCCGUAACUGACGCUGAGGAGCGAAAGCGUGGGGAGCGAACAGGAUUAGAUACCCUGGUAGUCCACGCCGUAAACGUUGGGCGCUAGAUGUAGGGACCUUUCCACGGUUUCUGUGUCGUAGCUAACGCAUUAAGCGCCCCGCCUGGGGAGUACGGCCGCAAGGCUAAAACUCAAAGGAAUUGACGGGGGCCCGCACAAGCGGCGGAGCAUGCGGAUUAAUUCGAUGCAACGCGAAGAACCUUACCAAGGCUUGACAUACACCGGAAACGGCCAGAGAUGGUCGCCCCCUUGUGGUCGGUGUACAGGUGGUGCAUGGUUGUCGUCAGCUCGUGUCGUGAGAUGUUGGGUUAAGUCCCGCAACGAGCGCAACCCUCGUUCUAUGUUGCCAGCGCGUUAUGGCGGGGACUCAUAGGAGACUGCCGGGGUCAACUCGGAGGAAGGUGGGGAUGACGUCAAAUCAUCAUGCCCCUUAUGUCUUGGGCUUCACGCAUGCUACAAUGGCCGGUACAAAGGGCUGCGAUACCGUAAGGUGGAGCGAAUCCCAAAAAGCCGGUCUCAGUUCGGAUUGAGGUCUGCAACUCGACCUCAUGAAGUCGGAGUCGCUAGUAAUCGCAGAUCAGCAACGCUGCGGUGAAUACGUUCCCGGGCCUUGUACACACCGCCCGUCAAGUCAUGAAAGUCGGUAACACCCGAAGCCGGUGGCCUAACCCUUGUGGAAGGAGCCGUCGAAGGUGGGAUCGGUGAUUAG
rnacentral:rRNA from 2 species